ACCCGGGUGGCGGCCGCUCUAGCCCGAGUUUGAUCCUGGCUCAGGACGAACGCUGGCGGCGGGCCUAACACAUGCAAGUCGCAGGAGAAGUUCAUCUUCGGAUGGAUGGAGACUGGCGCACGGGUGAGUAACGCGUAGACAACCUGCCUAUGACACGGGGAUAACCAUUGGAAACGGUGGCUAAUACCCGAUAAUGCAGCGGGCCCCGCAUGGGGACAGUUGUUAAAGCCUUUGGGUGGUUAUAGAUGGGUCUGCGUGCUAUUAGUUAGUUGGUAGGGUAAUGGCCUACCAAGCCGACGAUCCAUAUCUGGUUUGAGAGGAUGAUCAGCCACACUGGGACUGAGACACGGCCCAGACUCCUACGGGAGGCAGCAGUGGGGAAUCUUGGACAAUGGGGGCAACCCUGAUCCAGCCAUGCCGCGUGAUCGAUGAAGGCCUUAGGGUUGUAAAGAUCUUUCGCUGGGGAAGAUAAUGACGGUACCCGGAGAAGAAGCCCCGGCUAACUCCGUGCCAGCCGCCGCGGUAAUUCGGGC
rnacentral:rRNA from 1 species